rnacentral:tRNA from 2 species
GGGGAUAUGGCGAAAUUGGUAGACGCUACGGACUAAAAUCCGUCGACUUUGAAAAUCGUGAGGGUUCAAGUCCCUCUAUCCCCA